AACGCACAUUGCGCCCAUCAGUAUUCUGUUGGGCAUGCCUGUUCGAGCGUCAUUUCCACCCUCAAGCCCUGGCUGCUUGGUGCUGGGGUAUUCUACAGCUGCUGUAGGCCCCGAAAAUCAGUGGCGGUCUCGCCGGGACCCCGAGCGUAGUAGAUCUCUCUCGCUCAGGGGCGACCGGUGGGUUUCUAGCCGUUAAACCCCCCAAAUUUUAAAGGUUGACCUCGGAUCAGGUAGGAAUACCCGCUGAACUUAA
rnacentral:misc_RNA from 1 species